UAAAAAGAUUCACAAGUAGGUGUCACGCCGCAAUCCUCCCACCCGACCCAACUUAGCAUCACAAUCACACUAAAACUCAAAGUGAAGUAAAAACAACCCCCGAACCGUGCAUUAUAACAAAUCCAAAAAUAAAAGGGGUCCACUAAAAACAUCAAACAAAAAGGGGAUGCUAAGGUUGGCGGGUUCAGGAGAAAGUUCGGCCACUUAGCUCUUUUCCUGGGGGUGUGAAGGGGAAGAAAGUUCAACCCGGCUGCCGCUAUGAAGUGCGUGUCCGUCUGUGUGCCGCUACGGAGCUGUCAUGGUUCUGCUCUGCUCCUUCACCCCUCCCUUCCUUCCUCCACUCUAAUCUCACUCACCUGUGCUGAUUAAGCUCCCAUUGUGCUCCAGCUGGUGUUCACACUAUUUAUGUCCUCAGUUUCACAUCCACCCUGCCAGUUCGUUGAAUCAGUCACGUUCCAGCUAGUAACAAUCCUUGCACUUUUAGUCUUUUCAUGUUUUUGACCCUUUUAUGGCCUGGUAACAAGUUUAAGCCUGUCCCCUGUCUGGAGUUUUUCUGCCCUGGUUUUUCCUCCUCCGUUUCCAUCCUGAAGACGCGUGAUGCUUCCAGAUCCCUCAUCUCAACACGGAGUAAAGCUGCCCCAACAUUGGUCUUCACCCUCCGGUGGAUUCUCAUCCUGACACAGCAGCAGUGGGGGAAUCUUCCAUCCUUCCUGACACCAUCCGCCCUGCACUCGGACCCUUCAAAGGCUCUUCUCUCACGUCUUCUUCUGGAGUUCUAAGCUCACCUGUGCAUCUGGCGGCCCACUGAUUAAUUCUACCUCCCUAAUAAACACUUUAAUUUUGA